GCCCAGCCUUGAAGGAUGCAUUGUUAUUUUCGUUUUACAAAUGAAGAAACAGAGAUCUAGAGAAGUGAUGUCACUUGCCCAAGAGUGCACAGCCAGUGAGCUACAGGACAGGAAUCAAACCCAGGAGGCCACACCCAAGUAUCAGACAUUUCCUGCAAGUGUUCAAUUGUGAGGCUUGCUCUUCCCCUUCAGCUGCACCCCACAGGCAGCGCCAGAGUGCUGAAGCAUGCAGCCCCAAGCAAGGGCCAAUGGGUGAGCAGGAGUGGCAGAGGCCAGGUUCUGGCCACUGAAGUGUGUUGUAGCUUUGGGACUUUCGGAGUGGAAUUCCAGAAUGUUCCAUCAGGUUCCAUUCUUCAGUGAUGCAUGGUUGCAAAGCUGCAGCUCAGGGAAGAGCCCCUCCAAGGUCACUGAGUUGAGAAUCGAGAACCUGAGUCUGCUCCACUGGGGCUAACGAGCCAUGUAAGCGGGACCAUCUCCCUUUGCUGCACGGGGGCCACCUGCUGCCUCCUCUGUGAAACGGGAGAGCAUACCACCUGCCCUGGAGAGCUGUCCUCGAGAUGAGAUAAAAGCAUGGAUAUAAAAGGGUCUGGAAAUUUGGAGGUCUUUGCUUGUAUGAAUAUGUGUCCUUAUUAUCGCCAUGUGACGGGCUGGCAAGAUUGUCGCAGAAAUGAGCUUGAGGAAACUCCCAGGCAGACAAAGUCGGCUCAGUGGAACUCACAGAUGGGCCCUGCCCCGUCAAUGCCCCCGCUGUGAUAGGCUUCUACUUGGGUUCCUAUCUUUUGGUGGAUAGAUGUGCUAUGGACAGUGGAGAAGAUCACAGUGCUGGGCAUGCCAGAGCACUUGC